rnacentral:rRNA from 1 species
AUUGAACGCUGGCGGCAGGCCUAACACAUGCAAGUCGAGCGGCAGCGCGGGGGCAACCCUGGCGGCGAGCGGCGAACGGGUGAGUAAUACAUGGGAAUCUGCCUGGUAGUGGGGGAUAACUCUGGGAAACUAGAGGUAAUACCGCAUACGUCCUACGGGAGAAAGGGGGGAUCUUCGGACCUCUCGCUAUCAGAGGAGCCCAUGUCCGAUUAGCUAGUUGGUGAGGUAAAGGCUCACCAAGGCGACGAUCGGUAACUGGUCUGAGAGGAUGGUCAGUCACACUGGAACUGAGACACGGUCCAGGACUCCUACGGGAGGCAGCAGUGGGGAAUAUUGGACAAUGGGGGGCAACCCGUGAUCCAGCCAUGCCGCGUGUGUGAAGAAGGCCUCGGUUGUAAGCACUUAAGUGGGAGGUAAGGGACUCGUACGUGAUAUCGU